GGGGAUGAAAAGGCUUCGACAUAUUAAAAGUUUAUUAUUCAUCAGUAGUGUGGUAGACUAUAAUACUUCUAGGCUUUAUAAUCGCAAAAGAUAAAAAAGUUAAAGAACUUAAUGUUCAAAAUUUAUUAGUUGCACAAAGUGCAAUGCAAUCAAAUCUUGUAUUUGCUUAGUUAAAAGCUACAAGUGGCUUAUAAGAUUUUAACCUUGAAUCUUCUAAGUUGGCUAAAAAGGUGAAGUUUGAAAUUGAUUUAAUUUCAUUACUCGUUAUUUUGUUUUCUUUUUUAAAACAAGUAAUUAUUUAAAAAGAAAUAAACUGUAAAAAGUGAGUUUUAAGUUUUUAUUAUGGACACGGGUUCAACUCCCGUCAUCUCCACCA
rnacentral:tmRNA from 1 species